UGCUACCUGACCUAGCGGCGGACGGGUGAGUAAUGCUUAGGAAUCUGCCUAUUAGUGGGGGACAACAUUCCGAAAGGAAUGCUAAUACCGCAUACGCCCUACGGGGGAAAGCAGGGGAUCUUCGGACCUUGCGCUAAUAGAUGAGCCUAAGUCAGAUUAGCUAGUUGGUGGGGUAAAGGCCUACCAAGGCGACGAUCUGUAGCGGGUCUGAGAGGAUGAUCCGCCACACUGGGACUGAGACACGGCCCAGACUCCUACGGGAGGCAGCAGUGGGGAAUAUUGGACAAUGGGCGAAAGCCUGAUCCAGCCAUGCCGCGUGUGUGAAGAAGGCCUUUUGGUUGUAAAGCACUUUAAGCGAGGAGGAGGCUACUUGGAUUAAUACUCUAGGAUAGUGGACGUUACUCGCAGAAUAAGCACCGGCUAACUCUGUGCCAGCAGCCGCGGUAAUACAGAGGGUGCGAGCGUUAAUCGGAUUUACUGGGCGUAAAGCGUGCGUAGGCGGCUUUUUAAGUCGGAUGUGAAAUCCCUGAGCUUAACUUAGGAAUUGCAUUCGAUACUGGGAAGCUAGAGUAUGGGAGAGGAUGGUAGAAUUCCAGGUGUAGCGGUGAAAUGCGUAGAGAUCUGGAGGAAUACCGAUGGCGAAGGCAGCCAUCUGGCCUAAUACUGACGCUGAGGUACGAAAGCAUGGGGAGCAAACAGGAUUAGAUACCCUGGUAGUCCAUGCCGUAAACGAUGUCUACUAGCCGUUGGGGCCUUUGAGGCUUUAGUGGCGCAGCUAACGCGAUAAGUAGACCGCCUGGGGAGUACGGUCGCAAGACUAAAACUCAAAUGAAUUGACGGGGGCCCGCACAGGCGGUGGAGCAUGUGGUUUAAUUCGAUGCAACGCGAAGAACCUUACCUGGUCUUGACAUAGUAAGAACUUUCCAGAGAUGGAUUGGUGCCUUCGGGAACUUACAUACAGGUGCUGCAUGGCUGUCGUCAGCUCGUGUCGUGAGAUGUUGGGUUAAGUCCCGCAACGAGCGCAACCCUUUUCCUUAUUUGCCAGCGGGUUAAGCCGGGAACUUUAAGGAUACUGCCAGUGACAAACUGGAGGAAGGCGGGGACGACGUCAAGUCAUCAUGGCCCUUACGACCAGGGCUACACACGUGCUACAAUGGUCGGUACAAAGGGUUGCUACCUAGCGAUAGGAUGCUAAUCUCAAAAAGCCGAUCGUAGUCCGGAUUGGAGUCUGCAACUC
rnacentral:rRNA from 1 species